GGCAAAAUGAGAGCCCGACUGUCUCUUAUAACUAAUCAAUUAAACUGAUCUCCCAGUACAAAAGCUGGGAUACCCCCAUAAGACCAGAAGACCCUGUGAAGCUUUAACUAAACUAUUAAAUCCAAUAAUAACUAAUUUCGGUUGGGGCGACCUUGGAACAAAAAAGAACUUCCAAUAUAUGACCUACUCAUACAAAAGGCAAACAAGCCACAUUAGACCCAGUAUACCUGAUUAAUGAACCAAGUUACUCCAGGGAUAACAGCGCCAUCUUCUUCAAGAGCCCAUAUCAAAAAGAAGGUUUACGACCUCGAUGUUGGAUCAGGACAUCCUAGUAAUGCAACCGUUACUAAGGGUUCGUUUGUUCAACGAUUAACAGUCCUACGUGA
rnacentral:rRNA from 1 species